GGUGGCGGAGUCUGAAAGGACUAAGACAUGGCUCACAUGUUUAUUUAGGUUGCUUGCAGCACUUUGUCUUUAUCUAAGCAGGCCGGUCUAAUUGAAGCCAACGGAGAACUCAAGGUCUUCAUAGACCAGAACCUUAGUCCCGGAAAAGGUAAGGGCACCUGUUCUGGACACACUUGUGUUGAUGAAUGCGUGAAGCUUCACGUGUUUAUGAAGCUGUUGACGUUGAAGCCUCUUGCUAAUGAUGGCAUCUCCUGCACGGGCACCUUUGUGCUCUGAGAAUCCAGGAGGGUGGGCGUAGGGGCCUUCUAAUAUUUAGAAACAGCCUGCACACCACACCAGAAGCUUUGUGGAUUUUGAAUUCUAAGGUGUGUAUACUAUUUGCAAACAUUUAGAAAAAGGUAGAAUAAUGUAAAGAAGAAAUAAAGACAAUUUGUUUUCCCGCCACCCAAAGAUAAUGACGUCUCAGCAGUGGUGUGGGCUCUUCCAGAAGCCAGACUCACCUGUGCU
rnacentral:lncRNA from 1 species